rnacentral:rRNA from 1 species
UGGGGAAUUUUGGACAAUGGGCGAAAGCCUGAUCCAGCAAUGCCGCGUGUGUGAAGAAGGCCUUCGGGUUGUAAAGCACUUUUGUCCGGAAAGAAAUCCUUGGCUCUAAUACAGUCGGGGGAUGACGGUACCGGAAGAAUAAGCACCGGCUAACUACGUGCCAGCAGCCGCGGUAAUACGUAGGGUGCAAGCGUUAAUCGGAAUUACUGGGCGUAAAGCGUGCGCAGGCGGUUUGCUAAGACCGAUGUGAAAUCCCCGGGCUCAACCUGGGAACUGCAUUGGUGACUGGCAGGCUAGAGUAUGGCAGAGGGGGGUGGAAUUCCACGUGUAGCAGUGAAAUGCGUAGAGAUGUGGAGGAAUACCGAUGGCGAAGGCAGCCCCCUGGGCCAAUACUGACGCUCAUGCACGAAAGCGUGGGGAGCAAACAGGAUUAGAUACCCUGGUAGUCCACGCCCUAAACGAUGUCAACUAGUUGUUGGGGAUUCAUUUCCUUAGUAACGUAGCUAACGCGUGAAGUUGACCGCCUGGGGAGUACGGUCGCAAGA